UACGUAGGGGGCAAGCGUUGUCCGGAAUCAUUGGGCGUAAAGCGCGCGUAGGUGGCCCAGUAAGUCCGCUCUGAAAGUCAAAGGCUCAACCUUUGAAAGCGGGUGGAUACUGCUGGGCUAGAGUCCGGAAGAGGCGAGUGGAAUUCCUGGUGUAGCGGUGGAAUGCGCAGAUAUCAGGAGGAACACCAACGGCGAAGGCAGCUCGCUGGGACGGUACUGACACUAAGGCGCGAAAGCGUGGGGAGCAAACAGG
rnacentral:rRNA from 1 species